AACCCAAAAAAACACGUCAAAAUCAAGCCAACCCCCCACCCCGACCCCACCCCUCACACACAAAAAAAAACUCACUCUCUUUCCCUCUCACUCCAAAGAACUUACGGCCGCCAUCCACCACCAAGUUUUCCAGCGCCACAUAAUAUUAGGGAUGGUGUUUGCGAGUGGAAUGGGAGUUUGUUAGCAAAGUGUAACAACUUGAAGUUCAAUUGAUAUUAAUUUCCUGAUCUGCAUCUUUAUUUCAGGAAAAGGAACUUGGGAGGCCAAUAACUCAGGCUGAGACAUUCAAGGCUAUACACACAAGGAAGAAGAAAAUUCCUGGAGAUCCUGAUGUUUGAGCCACAAGCUCAGCUGACCUAUAAUUCAAUCCACUGCUUGCUUCGGGGGAUUCUUCUUUUUCCCGGUAAUGUAGGACGUCCUCCCUCCCUUGUCUCUAUCUAUUUGUAUAUGGUCAAUAUAGAGGUGUGACUGAGGACCCCAACAGUGAUAAAGAUGAUGAAGAUUACUAUGUGGACAAUACACCGUCACGUUGUUAAUGUUAAAUGUUGUGUUAAAUAUUCUAAACGAUAUACUUUAUGGCGGUUUAUUUGAAUUAUUAAGUGUUUUUGAAUGCAUUAAAACUUUAAAGUAAUCUGAACAAUAGUAUUGUAUAAAUAACUUAUAUUUCUAUGUUUUGUUCGUUCAAUUUCAAUGUAUUUAAAUUUAAUUCUCA